rnacentral:lncRNA from 1 species
CUCUCUUCCCGGGUGGACAGAUCUGGAGGAUUUCAGCAGCAGACCCUUGGGCUCAGGGGUGAGAUCCAAGUCCUCAGGGGACCAUCUUGAAAGCUACUGAGGCUUUCCAGGCACAGUUGUCUUCCAGGAUUUUCUGCAAGAAGGAAGAAGUUUAAAAAAUGGCAGCUAAUGAGAUUUGCUCCUGGAAAACUCACCAGAGCCGUAAUUCAUCGGCUGCUUUUGAGUCACUACAGCUGAAGCAGGGAGGAGCUAUAAGAAAUCAUUUUGUCACCUGCUUUAGACAGCUGAAAACCCACCCAACAAGGACCGCACUGAUCUCAGGCAAAUGAGUG